AGUGAACGCUGGCGGUAGGCCUAACACAUGCAAGUCGAACGGCAGCACAGUAAGAGCUUGCUCUUACGGGUGGCGAGUGGCGGACGGGUGAGGAAUACAUCGGAAUCUACUUUUUCGUGGGGGAUAACGUAGGGAAACUUACGCUAAUACCGCAUACGACCUACGGGUGAAAGCAGGGGAUCUUCGGACCUUGCGCGAUUCAAUGAGCCGAUGUCGGAUUAGCUAGUUGGCGGGGUAAAGGCCCACCAAGGCGACGAUCCGUAGCUGGUCUGAGAGGAUGAUCAGCCACACUGGAACUGAGACACGGUCCAGACUCCUACGGGAGGCAGCAGUAGGGAAUAUUGGACAAUGGGCGCAAGCCUGAUCCAGCCAUGCCGCGUGAGUGAAGAAGGCCUUCGGAUUGUAAAGCCCUUUUGUUAGGAAAGAAAAUCAGCAGGUUAAUACCCCGCUGUUCUGACGGUACCCAAAGAAUAAGCACCGGCUAACUUCGUG
rnacentral:rRNA from 1 species